GGCCGCGUAGUGUAGUGGUUAGCACGCAGGAUUUGUAAGUUCCCAAAAAAAAAAAAUGAAUUCCUCCCAAACGAAUUAUGAUCCUAACAGUUUACUAGUGACAUCUGAUUAAUUUCAAAAGUUCCCAAAAAAAAAAAAUGAAUUCCUCCCAAACGAAUUAUGAUCCUAACAGUUUACUAGUGACAUCUGAUUAAUUUCAAGUUUUCCUGAGACCUGAGUUCAAUCCUCGGCGGGGCCU